UUUUAUGUACAUUCCUACAACAUAGCAUUAAUGCAUCAGAUCCCAUUAGAACUCUGCAUUUAAGCGUGCUCGGGCUAGAGUAGUACUGGGAUGGGUGACCUC
rnacentral:rRNA from 1 species